rnacentral:rRNA from 1 species
CAGCCGCCACGGUAAUACGUAGGUGGCAAGCGUUGUCCGGAAUUAUUGGGCGUAAAGGGCUCGCAGGCGGUUUCUUAAGUCUGAUGUGAAAGCCCCCGGCUCAACCGGGGAGGGUCAUUGGGAACUGGGAAACUUGAGUGCAGAAGAGGAGAGUGGAAUUCCACGUGUAGCGGUGAAAUGCGUAGAGAUGUGGAGGAACACCAGUGGCGAAGGCGACUCUCUGGUCUGUAACUGACGCUGAGGAGCGAAAGCGUGGGGAGCGAACAGGAUUAGAUACCCGUGUAGUCCCUGUCUCUUAUAA